rnacentral:rRNA from 1 species
UCCAGACUCCUACGGGAGGCAGCAGUGGGGGAUAUUGCACAAUGGGGGGAACCCUGAUGCAGCGACGCCGCGUGGGUGAAGGAGCGUUUCGGCGCGUAAAGCCCUAUCGGCAGGGAAGAAGGAGGACGGUACCUGACUAAGAAGCCCCGGCUAACUACGUGCCAGCAGCCGCGGUAAUACGUAGGGGGCAAGCGUUAUCCGGAUUUACUGGGUGUAAAGGGGGCGCAGACGGCAGCGCAAGCCAGGAGUGAAAGCCCGGGGCUCAACCCCGGGACUGCUCUUGGAACUGCGCGGCUGGAGUGCAGGAGGGGCAGGCGGAAUUCCUGGUGUAGCGGUGAAAUGCGUAGAUAUCAGGAGGAACACCGGUGGCGAAGGCGGCCUGCUGGACUGCGACUGACGUUGAGGCCCGAAAGCGUGGGGAGCAAACAGGAUUAGAUACCCGGGUAAG